GUGGGUAUAGCUUAGUGGCAGAGCACAUGCUUAGCAUGCAUGAGGUCCUAGGUUCAAUCCCCACUACCUCCA
rnacentral:tRNA from 1 species